rnacentral:rRNA from 1 species
CCGAGCGGCGGACGGGUUAGUAACGCGUGGGAACAUACCCUUCUCUACGGAAUAGCCUCGGGAAACUGAGAGUAAUACCGUAUAAGCCCUUCGGGGGAAAGAUUUAUCGGUGAAGGAUUGGCCCGCGUAAGAUUAGAUAGUUGGUGGGGUAAUGGCCUACCAAGUCUACGAUCUUUAGCUGGUUUGAGAGGAUGAUCAGCAACACUGGGACUGAGACACGGCCCAGACUCCUACGGGAGGCAGCAGUGGGGAAUCUUAGACAAUGGGGGAAACCCUGAUCUAGCGAUGCCGCGUGUGUGACGAAGGCCUUAGGGUCGUAAAGCACUUUCGCCAAGGAUGAUAAUGACAGUACUUGGUAAAGAAACCCCGGCUAACUCCGUGCCAGCAGCCGCGGUAAUACGGAGGGGGUUAGCGUUGUUCGGAAUUACUGGGCGUAAAGCGCACGUAGGCGGACUAAUAAGUUAGAGGUGAAAUCCCAGGGCUCAACCCUGGAACUGCCUUUAAUACUGUUAGUCUUGAGUUCGAGAGAGGUGAGUGGAAUUCCGAGUGUAGAGGUGAAAUUCGUAGAUAUUCGGAGGAACACCAGUGGCGAAGGCGGCUCACUGGCUCGAUACUGACGCUGAGGUGCGAAAGCGUGGGGAGCAAACAGG